CUGUGCGUCAACACACAAGCUUUAAGAAUCAAACACAUGAAGUUAGUUACUAACAUUCAUAGAGUUUAACAUCCAUCUUAACACGGAAAUACUUAGCCCCUUGAAAUAUAUCCGUCACGAAGGUAGCGAUCCCACGAGCCAUGAAGAAAUCACCCGUCCCACCCACGACCGAUAGAUCUCUUGUCGGCUCCAUCAUCAAAUCCGCACCCAUUAUGUUCAAUGUCCCUUUGUGUUGCGUCGAGUUAAACACCAAGGUGUAGCAAAACCACGCAUUGUAGUCCAUCUUCAUGUCAUAGAAAUAGAAGCCUUGUGCGCGAGCUAGAGGUUCUGAGAGAUAGUUCUUGUCCAUUGUUAUGGGGCCAUCAAAGAUCACAAACUUACCGAACUUGAAGUUUCCUAAUCCUGGUGGGCUCACUAUAGCGGCUGAGGUUGCGUUUGCUACAUUGUCACCAUCGUAGAGGAUGUCAUGAAAGUAGAAGGAGAAGUGUUUGCAAGGUUUUCUCUGAUCAAAUGUUUUUCGGGACGAAAAAACUGUAUGGGAAAAGAGGACUAAUAAGAAGAAUGAGAAGAGGGACUUAAGGAGUUGUUUCUCUACAAGAGAUGCCAUGGUUAGCUAGAGACGACUAGUGAGUUGUGUAAAUUGAAGAUCGCUUACACCCCCAUUAAUAUAGAAGUUAUUCACAUGAGUUAGUGAAGAUAAUUUAUUUGGAUAAAAUGAAAGAAUUUUAAAAGUUUGAGGGGACUGCUAAAUUGGUUGUUCACGUACGUUUCGUCAAUUAAAAUAUAAAUUCGAUUGACAAGAAAGGUUUAAGAUCAUGUGGCGGGGUUGGUGCAAAACUAAGCAACAAGUUAAUUUCACUUUCUUGAAAGGUUUAAUGAUUUAAUACUGUUAAACCGGUUGGUGGCCUAUGUUGGAUCCAACCUCACAUUUUAUCUGUGCGUCAACACACAAGCUUUAAGAAUCAAACACAUGAAGUUAGUUACUAACAUUCAUAGAGUUUAACAUCCAUCUUAACACGGAAAUACUUAGCCCCUUGAAAUAUAUCCGUCACGAAGGUAGCGAUCCCACGAGCCAUGAAGAAAUCACCCGUCCCACCCACGACCGAUAGAUCUCUUGUCGGCUCCAUCAUCAAAUCCGCACCCAUUAUGUUCAAUGUCCCUUUGUGUUGCGUCGAGUUAA
rnacentral:lncRNA from 1 species